rnacentral:misc_RNA from 1 species
GUUUCUCAUUGAUUUUCUCAAUUUAACACAGUUGUUUAUAAAGGUGUUGGGGGCGUGGGGCGAAGAGGAACAGCCAACAGCAUAUCCUCCAUUUUAACAGAAGCUAAAAGUCCCCACGGAUACAUGAAGUUCACAAAGGAGUCCCUCAAAGGGGGCUUUUUCAAGAUAAUGGUUCUCGGCAUCAAGUUUACAAAAUGAUGUAAAAAUGAUGCCACGGCAAGCCGUACCCGGAAGGGGAGCAGGGCCUAAAUACAGAGGCCCGUAUGAACCAAAAUCCCUACUUCAGCAGAAAUUUGUAAUGAUCCAACCGCAGGUUCACCUACGGUUA